rnacentral:rRNA from 1 species
GACGAACGCUGGCGGCGUGCUUAACACAUGCAAGUCGAACGGAAAGGCCCUGCUUUUGUGGGGUGCUCGAGUGGCGAACGGGUGAGUAACACGUGAGUAACCUGCCCUUGACUUUGGGAUAACUUCAGGAAACUGGGGCUAAUACCGGAUAGGAGCUCCUGCUGCAUGGGGGGGGUUGGAAAGUUUCGGCGGUUGGGGAUGGACUCGCGGCUUAUCAGCAUGUUGGUGGGGUAGUUGCUUACCAAGGCUUUGACGGGUAGCCGGCCUGGGAGGGUGACCGGCCACAUGGGGACUGAGAUACGGCCCAGACUGCUACGGGACGCAGCAGUGGGGAAUAUUGCACAGUGGGCGGAAGCCUGAUGCAGCAACGCUGCGUGCGGGAUGACGUCCUUCGGGUUGUAAACCGCUUUCGCCUGUGACGAAGCGUGAUUGACGGUAAUGGGUAAAGAAGCACCGGCUAACUACGUG